rnacentral:tRNA from 1 species
GCCUUCGUGGUGUAAUGGUCAGCACACUUGGCGCGUAUUCGAGAAAUCCGAGGUUCGAGUCCCGGUUAGGGCA